rnacentral:lncRNA from 1 species
GAAACUCUAGUUAACAUUGAUCAAGUUGCAUAUUGGGAUAUUGCAUUAUAGGGUACUAGUUGGCAAUUGUUACAUGUCAUGGCAUGCUAGUGGGAGUGUAGUGUUACUUGAUUAAUACUUAUACCUAGUAUGCAUGAGAUUGGGACUUAGUGUGGUGAAACCCUAUAAGGGCAUGAUUAAUGUGGAUUAAACUGUAGUUGAGUACAUUAAUCGAUCAAGUUGCAUAUUGUAUUUAUUGCAUAUAGGUGCUAGAUGAUUAUGGUUAUUGCUUAUAUAUGCAUGCUAGUAGCUAUACAUCUUGAUGAUUGAUCCAUGAUCUAGUAUGCAUGAUGAUUAUAUGAUGAAAACUCUAUAAUAAAGACCUAGACCCUAUAUGAGAUGAUUAAUGCUUAUGUUGCUAAAGAACUAGUAUGAUGUAACUAGUGUUGAUAAUGAGUCAAAAUUGACAAGUGGCAUCUAGUUAUAGAAAACUACGAUGAGUGGCAUGUGAUUGUUGAUGACCUUGAUGUGAGAACAUUAGUGUAGUUGAGACACUAUGAGAUUGGGUACAAGAACACCUUGAUUCCAUGAUGAGAUUACCCUUAGAGGGUAGGUUGCUGCUGUUCGUGAGUUGAUCGUGCUCACAUUGCCUAUCUGCGCUUGGUGGGGUCGCUCCCCUCAAGUUGUGCGCUCCGGAGUUGGUCACUAGAGAGGCAGCCCUGCUUGCUGCUCGGAUAGCCGCUUGUUAUCCGCAGGCGUACUCGGGGAUAGUUCAGCUAGGCAUCCCUCGGAGGUUGACAUGUGAGCCUUGCUUGUGAACCUUGUGUUCACCAUGAGAUUUGGUUACCUAUUGAGUCAUACUCAUUAUUGUUGUUCAUGAUAGCUUGCUUCCAUAGUUGUUGUUGUGGUUCAUAGUUGCCUUUGGCUUGCCGGCUGAUUGGGUGAUCUAAUGAAUAGCCUUAUUGAUGAACCUAGUGGUAUGGUAGUUAGCCUUCACUAAGACUUAUAUUGAUAGCGAGCAUAGUCGCUUGGUAGUUGGAUUGGUGGAUUUGCCUACAUACAGUGAGUGGACAUACUAUUCCUUCACCUAUGAGAUUUGAGGGGAGUAGCCUUAUACCUAGUAGGUCGAGAUGUGAGUCGGGCAAAGUGCGGGGUAGCCUUUGCCUAGGACCUUGAGAUGUGGGUCGGGCAAAGUGCGGGGUAGCCUUUGCCUAGGACCUUCGAGAUUGGGUCGGACCUUCGAGAUCUAAGUCGGGCGAGGAGCGGGGUAGCUCUUUGCUCAGGACCCUUAAGACAUGAAUCGAAUGAGACAAGAAUGAGGUAGCUUUUCACCUACUAGAUUUGAGAUCUUAGGCAAAGUAGCCUAGUGGAUUGGGCAAUAAUGUGAAUAGCAUAAGUGGAUUGCAUUCAUACCAUGAUUAUACAUAGUGCAUUGCAUAACUAUGUUAUAGUUGUAUUCAUUUCAUUGUUGAGGCAUAUUAGCA